UACGAAGGGGGCUAGCGUUGCUCGGAAUCACUGGGCGUAAAGCGCACGUAGGCGGUUUCUUAAGUCAGGGGUGAAAUCCUGGAGCUCAACUCCAGAACUGCCUUUGAUACUGGGAGACUUCGAGUCCGGGAGAGGUGAGUGGAACUGCGAGUGUAGAGGUGAAAUGCGUAGAUAUCUGGAGGAACACCGGUGGCGAAGGCGGCAUCCUGGACCGGUAUUGACGCUGAGGCGCGAAAGCUAGGGGAGCAAACGGG
rnacentral:rRNA from 1 species